AGUGAACGCUGGCGGUAGGCCUAACACAUGCAAGUCGAACGGCAGCACAGUAAGAGCUUGCUCUUACGGGUGGCGAGUGGCGGACGGGUGAGGAAUACAUCGGAAUCUACUUUUUCGUGGGGGAUAACGUAGGGAAACUUACGCUAAUUCCGCAUACGACCUACGGGUGAAAGCAGGGGAUCUUCGGACCUUGCGCGAUUGAAUGAGCCGAUGUCGGAUUAGCUAGUUGGCGGGGUAAAGGCCCACCAAGGCGACGAUCCGUAGCUGGUCUGAGAGGAUGAUCAGCCACACUGGAACUGAGACACGGUCCAGACUCCUACGGGAGGCAGCAGUGGGGAAUAUUGGACAAUGGGCGCAAGCCUGAUCCAGCCAUACCGCGUGAGUGAAGAAGGCCUUCGGGUUGUAAAGCCCUUUUGUUGGGAAAGAAAAGCAGCAGGUUAAUACCCCGCUGUUCUGACGGUACCCAAAGAAUAAGCACCGGCUAACUUCGUG
rnacentral:rRNA from 1 species